rnacentral:rRNA from 1 species
CCUACGGGAGGCAGCAGUGGGGAAUAUUGGACAAUGGGCGCAAGCCUGAUCCAGCAAUGCCGCGUGUGUGAAGAAGGUUUUCGGAUUGUAAAGCACUUUCGGCGGGGACGAUGAUGACGGUACCCGCAGAAGAAGCCCCGGCUAACUUCGUGCCAGCAGCCGCGGUAAUACGAAGGGGGCUAGCGUUGCUCGGAAUGACUGGGCGUAAAGGGCGCGUAGGCGGAUGAUACAGUCAGACGUGAAAUUCCUGGGCUCAACCUGGGGACUGCGUUUGAGACGUGUUGUCUAGAGUGAGGAAGAGGGUUGUGGAAUUCCCAGUGUAGAGGUGAAAUUCGUAGAUAUUGGGAAGAACACCGGUGGCGAAGGCGGCAACCUGGUCCUUUACUGACGCUGAGGCGCGAAAGCGUGGGGAGCAAACAGGAUUAGAUACCCUGGUAGUCCACGCUGUAAACGAUGUGUGCGUGAGUGUUGGGUUAACGUUAGUUACUCUAGUGUCGUAGUCUAACGACGAUAAGACACACCGCCGUCGGGGAGGUACGGCCGGCCGAAGGUUAGUAAACGUUAAAUUAGUAAGUUAGUACGGCGUGAGACGUGCCGAACGGACGACGACGAGGGAGUAGG